ACAGAUGAUAGCAUCUUCUUUCAGAAAUGCAAUCGGAUUUAUUGAAGAAUGGUAUUUUGCUCAUUUUGAAUAACUAAGUGUUUUUUAUGAAAUACUGUAAUGAUAAUGCAGUAAUUAAUUUUAUAAUUCGAAUUAUUUGACUUACAUGAAGGAUUUUAUUAAAUCAGAAAGCUUUUUCUCCUGUGAGGUGUGGGGGUAAAAUAAACCUAACGUCGAGAUACACAAAAGGAUUCCCAAUAUUAAUAUCGGUAGUAUAUUGAGAAGAUGGAUGACACGGGAAAAGAAGUAAUUAAAAGCGCCUGUUGUGGGGAAAAGGUCAAAUUGAGGCAGAUGGAGAACCACCUGGAAAUUGUAUGGAUAGAAGUGGACUAUGCUCACAUUCUGUCAUAUAUUCGAUUAAUUCAAAUUUCACAUGGAAGAAAUCACAACAAGGAAAAAAUAAAAAAUUCCUCGUAUCCUCUGGGCCCUCUUAUAAAGACUAUGCCAAAAAGUAUCUAUAAACGUCGCUUUUAUUUGAAGUAGUACCUCCUUGUUUUAUGAUAUCAUUUACGAGACAAUUAUGACAUUGGAAAGCUCUUCAGAUUUUUAAUCGAGAAGACGCCACUGUGGAAGAAGAAACGCGCCGUAUGACAUGCAAAAUCUGGAUGUUUUAUUAAAGUAUCUAAUACAACGAUUAUUCCGAUAGCAGCAUUUUCAAUUAGUCGUCAGAGGCUAAUAAAGGGCCC
rnacentral:lncRNA from 1 species